GAUGAACGCUGGCGGCGUGCUUAACACAUGCAAGUCGAACGAAGCAAUUUAACGGAAGUUUUCGGAUGGAAGUUAAAUUGACUGAGUGGCGGACGGGUGAGUAACGCGUGGGUAACCUGCCUCAUACAGGGGGAUAACAGUUAGAAAUGACUGCUAAUACCGCAUAAGCGCACAGUAUCGCAUGAUACAGUGUGAAAAACUCCGGUGGUAUGAGAUGGACCCGCGUCUGAUUAGCUAGUUGGUGGGGUAACGGCCUACCAAGGCGACGAUCAGUAGCCGACCUGAGAGGGUGACCGGCCACAUUGGGACUGAGACACGGCCCAAACUCCUACGGGAGGCAGCAGUGGGGAAUAUUGCACAAUGGGCGAAAGCCUGAUGCAGCGACGCCGCGUGAGCGAAGAAGUAUUUCGGUAUGUAAAGCUCUAUCAGCAGGGAAGAAAAAUGACGGUACCUGACUAAGAAGCACCGGCUAAAUACGUGCCAGCAGCCGCCGUAACAC
rnacentral:rRNA from 1 species